UGUUGGGUUAAGUCCCGCAACGAGCGCAACCCCUAUCGUAUGUUACCAUCCUUCAGUUGGGGACUCAUGCGAUACUGCCUGCGACGAGCAGGAGGAAGGUGGGGAUGACGUCAAGUCAUCAUGCCCCUUAUACGCUGGGCUACACACGUGCUACAAUGGGUAGUACAGAGAGCGGCAAACCCGCGAGGGGGAGCAAAUCUCAGAAAACUAUUCUUAGUUCGGAUUGUACUCUGCAACUCGAGUACAUGAAGUUGGAAUCGCUAGUAAUCGCAAAUCAGCAAUGUUGCGGUGAAUACGUUCUCGGGUCUUGUACACACCGCCCGUCACACCACGAGAGUUGGUUGCACCUGAAGUAGCAGGCCUAACCUUAGGGAAGGAUGCUCCGAGGGUGUGGUUAGCGAUUGGGGUGAAGUCGUAACAAGGUAUCCGUACGGGAACGUGCGGAUGGAUCACCUCCUUUCUAAGGAG
rnacentral:rRNA from 1 species